rnacentral:rRNA from 1 species
UACGGGGGGGGUAAGCGUUGUUCGGAAUUACUGGGCGUAAAGGGCGCGUAGGCGGCCCUCUAAGUCAGACGUGAAAUCCCCCGGCUUAACCUGGGAACUGCGUCUGAUACUGGAGGGCUUGAGUAUGGGAGAGGGAUGUAGAAUUCCAGGUGUAGCGGUGAAAUGCGUAGAUAUCUGGAGGAAUACCGGUGGCGAAGGCGGCAUCCUGGACCAUUACUGACGCUGAGGCGCGAAAGCUAGGGGAGCAAACGGG